rnacentral:misc_RNA from 1 species
AAAGUCGUAACAAGGUUUCCGUAGGUGAACCUGCGGAAGGAUCAUUACCGAGAACGCGUCCUGCUGGGCGCAUCCUCCCCAUCCCUUUUGUUUACUAUACCUUUGUUUGCUUUGGCGGGCCCGUCUCGUGACCGCCGGCUUCGGCUGGCCCGCGCCCGCCAGAGGACCACAAACUCUGAUUAUCAUGCCGUCUGAGUAUUACACAAAUACGUUAAAAC